UACGAAGGGGGCUAGCGUUGUUCGGAAUCACUGGGCGUAAAGCGCACGUAGGCGGAUUUGUAAGUCAGGGGUGAAAUCCCGGGGCUCAACCUCGGAACUGCCUUUGAUACUGCAAGUCUUGAGUUCGGGAGAGGUGAGUGGAAUUCCUAGUGUAGAGGUGAAAUUCGUAGAUAUUAGGAAGAACACCAGUGGCGAAGGCGGCUCACUUGCCCGAUACGGACGCGGAGGUGCGAAAGCGUGGGGAGCAAACAGG
rnacentral:rRNA from 1 species